rnacentral:rRNA from 1 species
AUUGAACGCUGGCGGCAGGCCUAACACAUGCAAGUCGAGCGGAUGAAGGGAGCUUGCUCCUGGAUUCAGCGGCGGACGGGUGAGUAAUGCCUAGGAAUCUGCCUGGUAGUGGGGGAUAACGUCCGGAAACGGGCGCUAAUACCGCAUACGUCCUGAGGGGGAAAGUGGGGGAUCUUCGGACCUCACGCUAUCAGAUGAGCCUAGGUCGGAUUAGCUAGUUGGUGGGGUAAAGGCCUACCAAGGCGACGAUCCGUAACUGGUCUGAGAGGAUGAUCAGUCACACUGGAACUGAGACACGGUCCAGACUCCUACGGGAGGCAGCAGUGGGGAAUAUUGGACGAUGGGCGAAAGCCUGAUCCAGCCAUGCCGCGUGUGUGAAGAAGGUCUUCGGAUUGUAAAGCACUUUAAGUUGGGAGGAAGGGCAGUAAGUUAAUACCUUGCUGUUUUGACGUUACCAACAGAAUAAGCACCGGCUAACUUCGUG